rnacentral:tRNA from 1 species
AAGGAUUUAAGUUAAAAAUUUAAACUUGUAGCCUUCAAAGCUUCGAAUAAGAAAUAAAUUAUUCUUAAGCCUUA